CCCUGGGCGCACGAGGUCUUCAGAGCGGCUGCGCGGCUCUCCCGAGCGCGUACGGCUGCUACUGCGCCUGCGCGAACGCGGCACGCCCUCCUAGGGCUGCUCUCUCCAGUCCAGCUCUUUUGGGACGUGCGUGCCGCCGGCGUCUUGUG
rnacentral:lncRNA from 1 species